rnacentral:misc_RNA from 1 species
UGAAGUUUUAUAUUAUGUUUAUUAGGACAAAGCUUCAAGAAUAAGGCCACUAUCAUUUCUUGCAGCUUAUUAGAAAAGCCAUGCAUUUUAAACUUUUCAAGCCGUUUUGAUAGAGAAUUCCCACAAAUCACUGGCUAUCAGGCUCCCCUGAACAUUUCUUGCUCCAACCACCUGAACCAGCUUUCCUCUCUCCUCGCUUUCUCUUGUUCUUUGGAAAUUGGAA